CCGGUAAACGGCGGCCGUAACUAUAACGGUCCUAAGGUAGCGAAAUUCCUUGUCGGGUAAGUUCCGACCUGCACGAAUGGCGUAAUGAUGGCCAGGCUGUCUCCACCCGAGACUCAGUGAAAUUGAACUCGCUGUGAAGAUGCAGUGUACCCGCGGCAAGACGGAAAGACCCCGUGAACCUUUACUAUAGCUUGACACUGAACAUUGAGCCUUGAUGUGUAGGAUAGGUGGGAGGCUUUGAAGUGUGGACGCCAGUCUGCAUGGAGCCGACCUUGAAAUACCACCCUUUAAUGUUUGAUGUUCUAACGUUGGCCCGUUAUCCGGGUUGCGGACAGUGUCUGGUGGGUAGUUUGACUGGGGCGGUCUCCUCCUAAAGAGUAACGGAGGAGCACGAAGGUUGGCUAAUCCUGGUCGGACAUCAGGAGGUUAGUGCAAUGGCAUAAGCCAGCUUGACUGCGAGCGUGACGGCGCGAGCAGGUGCGAAAGCAGGUCAUAGUGAUCCGGUGGUUCUGAAUGGAAGGGCCAUCGCUCAACGGAUAAAAGGUACUCCGGGGAUAACAGGCUGAUACCGCCCAAGAGUUCAUAUCGACGGCGGUGUUUGGCACCUCGAUGUCGGCUCAUCACAUCCUGGGGCUGAAGUAGGUCCCAAGGGUAUGGCUGUUCGCCAUUUAAAGUGGUACGCGAGCUGGGUUUAGAACGUCGUGAGACAGUUCGGUCCCUAUCUGCCGUGGGCGCUGGAGAACUGAGGGGGGCUGCUCCUAGUACGAGAGGACCGGAGUGGACGCAUCACUGGUGUUCGGGUUGUCAUGCCAAUGGCACUGCCCGGUAGCUAAAUGCGGAAGAGAUAAGUGCUGAAAGCAUCUAAGCACGAAACUUGCCCCGAGAUGAGUUCUCCCUGACUCCUUGAGAGUCCUGAAGGAACGUUGAAGACGACGACGUUGAUAGGCCGGGUGUGUAAGCGCAGCGAUGCGUUGAGCUAACCGGUACUAAUGAACCGUGAGGCUUAACCUU
rnacentral:rRNA from 1 species